GAUGAACGCUAGCGGCGUGCCUAACACAUGCAAGUCGAGCGAUCUUCUUCGGAAGAGAGCGGCGGACGGGUGAGUAACGCGUGGGUAACCUGCCCUGUACACACGGAUAACAUACCGAAAGGUAUGCUAAUACGAGAUAAUAUACUUUUAUCGCAUGGUAGAAGUAUCAAAGCUCUGGCGGUACAGGAUGGACCCGCGUCUGAUUAGCUAGUUGGUAAGGUAACGGCUUACCAAGGCGACGAUCAGUAGCCGACCUGAGAGGGUGAUCGGCCACAUUGGAACUGAGACACGGUCCAAACUCCUACGGGAGGCAGCAGUGGGGAAUAUUGCACAAUGGGCGAAAGCCUGAUGCAGCAACGCCGCGUGAGCGAUGAAGGCCUUCGGGUCGUAAAGCUCUGUCCUCAAGGAAGAUAAUGACGGUACUUGAGGAGGAAGCCCCGGCUAACUACGUGCCAGCCGCCGCUGUAA
rnacentral:rRNA from 1 species